GUUCUGAGGCGUGGUCAACCGCUCUCAGGACCCCGGUUCCCAGCCACUGUGCGUCCGCACGGGAGGAGGCGGGAGGCUCAGGCCGUGCAGCCCCGGCUCACUCACGGGUGUGGCAGACGCGUGGCAGGUGACGUCCAUCAGCAGCAGGUUGCUGGUCAGCGUGGUGGGGCUACCGAGUGUGCCCACCCAGUCGGACCCUCACCAGGUCCACCACAGCCUGGCAGGGCUGGCAGAGCCCACACUGGGAUUCCUUUCUAUAGGGAGAAGUCAACGGCCUCUCUGAGCCCACGCGGCAGCUCAGUGCCAGAGCAGGGGCCAGCGAGCGGGGCGUCCUCGCCAUCCGUGGUCCCAGACCACAUUCCUCCGGCUCCUCUGGCGUUCCUGAACCUGCCCAGGCGCCUCGCCCUGGCUGGGCCUGGGGAUCCGCAUUUUUGGCUUCCCUGGGGCAGGGGUCGCCUCCUUCUGCAGAGCUGUCACUCGGUGUUCGGAGGCUCUGCACGGUCACCUGGACCUGGAGUGGACACAGCUGUUCCCGGAGGUCAGGGGCUCCUGGGCAGGGGAGGGCGCCCGGUGCCCAGCCAGGGGGCCCUGAAGCAGCGGGGCUGUGUGUGGGAGGCAGCAGGAGGGGCUCUCUUCAGGGGCUGCCACCAAGAGCCCCUCCCUCGCUCCUGCCUGGGACGCUGGCUCCGGGACAAAGCUCAUUCCUGCAGGUGUCUCUGCCCGGGGAGGACGCUGACCUGGGCUCGGGUGGGCCCGGGACACGGGUCUGUCGGGGGAGGGGGGAGGCACCUGCGCAUGCUGCGCUCGCGGAGCAGCCCUGCGAGUGCCCCGCCUUCUGCCCCUGGCGCGGUGAUGGGCCGGCAGCCCUGGAGAGCAGGUCUUAGAGUGACGUGGGAUUUACUAGCCGUGUCUGUCACUCACCGGCCUUCCCCGGCCCUUUCUCCCAAAAAUUGGUUCCUACCGAUCUUGCUGUUCACGUAAGUGGUUCUGUAGUUACGAUUCCUGCACCAAGAACUUGACCAGAAUCUGGACAAGAGCAAUGCUUCGGGAGAGCCCCAGUGCUACCACACACACACACACACACACACACGUGAAGAACACGCACACAUGCACAUGCAGACAUGCCUGCACACAUGUGUGUGCAACAUGCACAACACAGUGCAUACACA
rnacentral:lncRNA from 1 species